AUGAGAUUGUCGUUGGCUCAAGCAGUCAAGCUUUUCAGUUACAUUUUCAGCAGUGGAGUGGUGCCUGAUCAUUUCAUCUUCGUUCUUAAAGUAAGACAGAGCUUCUCCGCCUUUCCUGGAAUGGAAGACAACAUCUUAAUCCUGGACAGUGGACGGCCUGUGCCAUCAACUUCUAAUCACCAACCGGUUCCGUCCACCAACCCCUGCUACUGCUACAGAUGCAAACACAUGCUGAACGCGCUGGUGUACGCCAUGUCCUGCGAUUCCUCGUCACCCAGCGUGUUGCAGCUCCUGUUCUCUGAAAGAAAAUCCCCAUUACUGUAA
rnacentral:rRNA from 1 species